AUGAACGCUGACAGAAUGCUUAACACAUGCAAGUCUACUUGAACUUCGGUUUGGGUGGCGGACGGGUGAGUAACGCGUAAAGAACUUGCCUCACAGUUAGGGACAACAUUUGGAAACGAAUGCUAAUACCUGAUAUUAUGAUUUUAGGGCAUCCUAGGAUUAUGAAAGCUAUAUGUGCUGUGAGAGAGCUUUGCGUCCCAUUAGCUAGUUGGAGAGGUAACGGCUCACCAAGGCGAUGAUGGGUAGCCGGCCUGAGAGGGUGAACGGCCACAAGGGGACUGAGACACGGCCCUUACUCCUACGGGAGGCAGCAGUGGGGAAUAUUGGACAAUGGACCAAAAGUCUGAUCCAGCAAUUCUGUGUGCACGAUGACGUUUUUCGGAAUGUAAAGUGCUUUCAGUUGGGAAGAAAAAAAUGACGGUACCAACAGAAGAAGUGACGGCUAAAUACGUG
rnacentral:rRNA from 1 species